CGGUGGUGAAGAUCAAUCGAAAACAAUGACCAUCUACUACAAAAGAUCCCCUUCUAUUCUUCACCGGUAUUUCCCUAGCACCACAAUAGAUCGCUAUCCGGGACGUCUGGAGGAAGGUCGUACACUCUGACGUACUGAACGGUGCCCCCCGCAGGCGACAUACGUACCUCCACUGAUUUCCCAUCGGCAUAAUGGUUCACGGUUGUGCAACAAACAAUUAAGCAUCGAUUCUUCUGAUUUGAACUUGAGGAACAUAGAUUUUCCAUCCGUUAUAGAUGGUUCCCUCCCAUAGAUGGGAGCGCUGAGGUCUUCACCGAUAGCUUCUCUGUUGGUGGAGAAUGGAAAAGUUCCUUUGGUGAAUGUUGUCACCGAAAACCUGGCCACCAAGGCACUGAGGCUCCUAGAAAGGGAUCCCAUUCUCAAUGACAGGCCCACGGUUGCAAGGGCGAGAGAAUGGUGGAGCGACUUGACGGGAGUAGAUUUUCCCACGUUAGCCCAGCGAGCUAGGCUGUGGCAACGGGCAUGGGACGCUACUGCCCCGAAAGUUGAUUGGAGGGUUAAAGCUAUGUGCGGGGCGGGGGCCAGCUCUGAUGUGGCGAAAGCUGCAUUUAGAGAGGUCGCUGCCUCAUACGAGGGAAGGCCCAAGCUAUUUACGGACGGCUCAUUAAUCUAAGAGGAAGUUGGUUAUGGGGUGUCUGGGGAGGACCUAAGCCGCUGCAGCCGGUUACCCGGUCUCUGUGGUAUCUUCUCAGCUGAGGCCUAUGCUCUCCUGCAAGCUUGUAGGCUAGCAAAUGGAUCUCAGGCCGUUGUAUUAUCUGACUCUGCGAGUUGUCUCUCUACCCUUGAGCAUGAGCAGGUUGGACACCCCUGGCUGUUAGAAGUGCAGCGGUACGCUAACAUAACCUUUGUAUGGGUACCUGGACACGCAGGUAUACCAGGGAAUGAGGCUGCUGAUAAACUAGCUAACCAGGGUCGUCUUGCUCAGCUAGAGGCCACUCCGCAGACCUCGCGAUACGCAUGGAAUGUGUAUUGGCAUAACAACCGUGAUGCAUUCCUGCGUAGAAUCAAGAAUACUACACAAGAGUGGAAGGAUGCUCCUAAUUCUCGAGAUCAGAAAGUUCUGACUCGGCUGAGGAUUGGUCAUACACGGCUCACUUAUGGACCUCGUUUUAGCGGCAGUGUGGCCUACUGCCAGGGAUGCGGUGCGGUUUUAGAUGUUAAUCAUCUAUUGGUGGAGUGCCCGGCAAGAGCACAAUUGAGGGAAGAUAUGGGUGUCGUUGGUUCAAUCCGAGAGGUAUUGUUCAAGGACAGGAGUACAGAACAAACUGUACUCAACUUCCUGUGGGCGGUUGACUUAUACGAUAUGAUAUAAGCAUGAUUAAGUUGAUGUGGCAUUGGAAAGAAAAUGACUGGUAUAGUCACGCCACUUCAUUCGACAAGAGGCAGUCUUUAAGGUCCUAAAGACCAUGGUGUGUGAGGGAGGACGACUGACCUAAUGGGGGACGAUGAUGAAACAGUUUGAAACCCGUCUCGAAUGAAUUAAACUCUUCUCGUGCAGGGGAACAGUUUAAAGAGACGUUAGUAACCUUAGCCACAGCCUCCCAUAGAUGGUUUCGCACUGCCAUGUGCGAAGCUGAAUCGUCAGCUUUAUUUCAACGGACAUCUCCAGUUGUUUGC